rnacentral:rRNA from 1 species
GACGAACGCUGGCGGCGUGCUUAACACAUGCAAGUCGAACGGAAAGGCCUAGCUUGCUGGGUACUCGAGUGGCGAACGGGUGAGUAACACGUGGGUGAUCUGCCCCUGACUUUGGGAUAAGCCUGGGAAACUGGGUCUAAUACCGGAUAUUCAUUUUUCCUCGCAUGGGGAUUUGUGGAAAGCUUUUGUGGUUGGGGAUGGGCCCGCGGCCUAUCAGCUUGUUGGUGGGGUAAUGGCCUACCAAGGCGACGACGGGUAGCCGACCUGAGAGGGUGAUCGGCCACACUGGGACUGAGACACGGCCCAGACUCCUACGGGAGGCAGCAGUGGGGAAUAUUGCACAAUGGGCGCAAGCCUGAUGCAGCGACGCCGCGUGAGGGAUGACGGCCUUCGGGUUGUAAACCUCUUUCAGCUCCGACGAAGCGCAAGUGACGGUAGGAGCAGAAGAAGCACCGGCCAACUACGUG